rnacentral:rRNA from 1 species
UACGGGGGGGGCAAGCGUUGUUCGGAAUUACUGGGCGUAAAGGGCUCGUAGGCGGCCAACUAAGUCAGACGUGAAAUCCCUCGGCUUAACCGGGGAACUGCGUCUGAUACUGGAUGGCUUGAGAUUGGGAGAGGGAUGCGGAAUUCCUGGUGUAGCGGUGAAAUGCGUAGAUAUCUGGAGGAACACCGGUGGCGAAGGCGGCAUCUUGGACCAACACUGACGCUGAGGAGCGAAAGCCAGGGGAGCAAACGGG